rnacentral:rRNA from 1 species
UGCGUAGGCGGGAGAUUAAGUCAGUGGUGAAAUCCUGCAGCUCAACUGUAGAACUGUCAUUGAUACUGAUUUUCUUGAAUUUAGUUGAGGUAGGCGGAAUGUGUAAUGUAGCGGUGAAAUGCUUAGAUAUUACACAGAACACCGAUUGCGAAGGCAGCUUACUAAGCUAACAUUGACGCUGAGGCACGAAAGCGUGGGGAGCGAACAGGAUUAGAUACCCUGGUAGUCC